rnacentral:lncRNA from 1 species
AUAGCCUUAGAUAAAUUGUAUCUAUGAAAAUACUAAAUAAACACGCUUAUUUAUAAUAAUAAAAAAAUUGCCUUUGUCAAACUAUGAACCUAAAACAAGGCUGUAUGUAAGAUGAUCCUUGUCUACGUACUUAGACAAACCAAAAACAAACAAAUUUAAUGUCAGAUUGACAACUGGAGAGAUCCAUCCGUUGUAUUACGAUUAUUUCGUCGUGAUUAUUAAAUAAAUCAUUGUAAAUAAGAAGAUUCUACCUAGUAAAAACAUAUAAAAGAUGACACAAGUCACGCGCAUGUUUCUACAUAACCUACAGCUUCGAAAUGAUAAUAUAGCCCUGCCUAACUAUGCAAGAACGAAACCCUACAAUGCUAGCAAGUCAAAAUGCCUAUCGACCUACAGCCCUAGCCCUAGCCAUACCUACACAGAAAAUAUAUAAAUAGAUACAUAGGGCGGGAUACCUGCACCAUGAGACCUAAGGCAACAGGCGGAUAGUGGAAAGGAGAAGGUGCAGGAAGGAUUUUCUUACUGCCAAUCACACAGACUCAUGUGACCGUGGUUAGGCUAAAGGUGUCUUGGCCACAGUAAGAGGAUACUGAAAGUGACACAUAGAACAAUAUAAACAUGCACAGUGUGAUAAAACAAAAGUGACAUGGACAUACACAGUGAAAUUAAAGUGAAAUAAUAAUAAAUAAAACAAGCAGAAUAUGACAACUGUACUUAUUAUAAUAUGAAUUAAUAUUAGAAUGUUGAUGAUAA